GACGAACGCUGGCGGCGUGCUUAACACAUGCAAGUCGAACGAAGUGGCGAACGGGUGAGUAAUACGUGAGUAACCUGCCCUCCUUUUUGGGAUAAGCCUUGGAAACGGGGUCUAAUACCGAAUAAAGGGGGAUGGGCGCGCGGCCUACCAGCUUGUGGGGGGGGUGAUGGCCUAGCAAGGCGGUGAAGGGUAGCCGGCCGGAGAGGGUGACAGGCGAAAUGGGAACAGAGUUACUGCCCAGACUAAUACGGGAGGCAGCAGUGGAGUAUAUUGCACCAUGGGCGCAAUCAGAAUGGAACGAAGCCGCAUGGGGGAUGAAGGCUUCCGGGUUGUAAACCUCUUUCGCUAUCAAAUGGGUAUGUAGAGAAGAAGCGCCGGCUAACUACGUGCCAGCCGUCGCGGUAAUAC
rnacentral:rRNA from 1 species